rnacentral:lncRNA from 1 species
CCCCGAAGACCCUGCCCCCGGGCCUAGUAGUCACCUCACCUCCGCGCUUGGUUCUGCCUCCUGCCCCCGCUCUGAGUGGAUCUCAGGCUCAGCCGCACCCUCGCGCGAGGAACUACCAUUUCUCUGCCAUUAGGGGUUCAGAGAGUCUGAUGCCCGAACCCCGCAGUCAGUCUCCUCCGGCUGCAAGUCGCAGGCGGAAGUGACGUCAUGGCUCGCUUCCGUCUUUUCCGGUGCUGACUCCUGGCAGCUGGGUUCCUUUUCACCUUAGUGGCCCUGGGGCUUCCUACGCCUUCAGGGCUGGGUGCGGGGCCGACCGGCGCUGGAAGGGGGCAGUGAAAGUACGCGUUUGACCCGGGACGCCGAGGAGCCUCUCGGGAGACACCUGGCUUGCCCCGCCCGCGCCUCCUCCCGGGCUACCGGGUCUGCGAGGCCGCUCGGGCUGUCAGGAGCCACGUCGCGACUGCUGACUUAUUUUCUAGGGACCCCAUUUGCCUUCAUGAAGAAAAGACAGAGGCAGAAAGGAUGGUGGUUGAUAGCCUGACAAAUUGUUACCAGGUAGGAAGAAUGUACUAUCCUCCCAAAUGGCAUACUUCCUUGCUCCAAGAAGAUAUUUUCAUCUAGAUGUUCUUGUCUGCAAGGAUUCUUAAAGCAUAUAAAGUCUCCCUGAAGGACUGAGUCCAAGUUGAAUUUCUCCUGAGAAUGCAGCCUCUUAUAUUGGGGAACAAUUAUCCUGAAAAUCAUCCUGGGAUUUC